CCCACCCUCGCGGGCCGCCGGGCUUUCCCUUGUCCCUCCGGGAAGCGCCUCCCGACGCGGCUCAGGGGGGGACGGCGCAGCAGGAUCGCGUAGCGCGGCGCUUCGAGGCCACGAAGGUUCUCACAUGGUGUCUUUGAGGGAAGACUGUGUUUUCUUUGGAGACCAGAUAAUCAAAGGCAGCGCAGCUUUCUGCUUUUUUGGAAUGCUGGCUCUCAGCGCCCAGUCAUAUGCCAGGAAAAAAUCCAGGCAGCCCGUGAAGAAGCCCAUGCAGAGAACAUGGACUGAGCCCGGAACUCAGCUGCACUCUCGGCCAGGAGCCAGCACUUGCUUGCCAGCCAUGGAGU